rnacentral:miRNA from 18 species
CAACAAAUCCCAGUCUGCCUUA